rnacentral:rRNA from 1 species
UAUUGACCUCGGAUCAGGUAGGGAUACCCGCUGAACUUAAGCAUAU